rnacentral:rRNA from 1 species
GUGGGGAAUAUUGGACAAUGGGCGAAAGCCUGAUCCAGCCAUGCCGCGUGUGUGAAGAAGGUCUUCGGAUUGUAAAGCACUUUAAGUUGGGAGGAAGGGCAGUAAGUUAAUACCUUGCUGUUUUGACGUUACCAACAGAAUAAGCACCGGCUAACUUCGUGCCAGCAGCCGCGGUAAUACGAAGGGUGCAAGCGUUAAUCGGAAUUACUGGGCGUAAAGCGCGCGUAGGUGGUUCAGCAAGUUGGAGGUGAAAUCCCCGGGCUCAACCUGGGAACUGCCUCCAAAACUACUGAGCUAGAGUACGGUAGAGGGUAGUGGAAUUUCCUGUGUAGCGGUGAAAUGCGUAGAUAUAGGAAGGAACACCAGUGGCGAAGGCGACUACCUGGACUGAUACUGACACUGAGGUGCGAAAGCGUGGGGAGCAAACAGGAUUAGAAACCCUAGAGUCC